CGGAGCGGGCGAGACGGUCGCCUCUCCUUCCCGAGAGGGGGAGAGGAGGAAAGUCCGGACUCCGAAGGGCAGGAUGGUCGCUAACAGCGACUCCGGGCGACCGGGGGAAAGUGCCACAGAAAACAUACCGCCCCUCGGGAGGGGAGACCUUCCGGGGAGCAAGGGUGAAAUGGCGAGGUAAGAGCUCACCGCCCCGGCGGCGACGCCGGGGGCAGGGCAAACCCCAUCCGGAGCAAGGCCAAACGAGCCCCACUUUGGGAUGGCCCGUCCCAGGGGGCGGGUCGGCCGCUGGAUCCCGGGAGCAAUCCCGGGACUAGACAAAUGACCGUCGCCCGCGCGAGCGGGGACAGGAUCCGGCUUACGACCCGCUCCGGCCG
rnacentral:RNase_P_RNA from 1 species